GAUGAACGCUGGCGGCGUGCCUAAUACAUGCAAGUCGAGCGAACGGACGAGAAGCUUGCUUCUCUGAUGUUAGCGGCGGACGGGUGAGUAACACGUGGAUAACCUACCUAUAAGACUGGGAUAACUUCGGGAAACCGGAGCUGAUACCGGAUAAUAUUUUGAACCGCAUGGUUCAAAAGUAAAAGACGGUCUUGCUGUCACUUAUAGAUGGAUCCGCGCUGCAUUAGCUAGGUGGUAAGGUAACGGCUUACCAAGGCAACGAUGCAUAGCCGACCUGAGAGGGUGAUCGGCCACACUGGAACUGAGACACGGUCCAGACUCCUACGGGAGGCAGCAGUAGGGAAUCUUCCGCAAUGGGCGAAAGCCUGACGGAGCAACGCCGCGUGAGUGAUGAAGGUCUUCGGAUCGUAAAACUCUGUUAUUAGGGAAGAACAUAUGUGUAAGUAACUGUGCACAUCUUGACGGUACCUAAUCAGAAAGCCACGGCUAACUACGUG
rnacentral:rRNA from 1 species